rnacentral:rRNA from 1 species
AUGAGUAGGGCGGGACACGUGGUAUCCUGUCUGAAUAUGGGGGGACCAUCCUCCAAGGCUAAAUACUCCUGACUGACCGAUAGUGAACCAGUACCGUGAGGGAAAGGCGAAAAGAACCCCGGCGAGGGGAGUGAAAAAGAACCUGAAACCGUGUACGUACAAGCAGUGGGAGCCCCACCACUAAGCCAGUGGUGAACUCCACAUACGCAUCCUUUGCUGAAGGCAAUGGUUAACGGAGCGAAAGCGACGUUCAACCGCAAAACAAGCAGAGGGGGCUUAGUGGUGGGGUGACUGCGUACCUUUUGUAUAAUGGGUCAGCGACUUAUAUUCUGUAGCAAGGUUAACCGUAUAGGGGAGCCGGAGGGAAACCGAGUCUUAAUUGGGCGUUAAGUUGCAGGGUAUAGACCCGAAACCCGGUGAUCUAGCCAUGGGCAGGUUGAAGGUUGGGUAACACUAACUGGAGGACCGAACCGACUAAUGUUGAAAAAUUAGCGGAUGACCUGUGGCUGGGGGUGAAAGGCCAAUCAAACCGGGAGAUAGCUGGUUCUCCCCGAAAGCUAUUUAGGUAGCGCCUCGUGAAUUCAUCUCCGGGGGUAGAGCACUGUUUCGGCUAGGGGGCCAUCCCGGCUUACCAACCCGAUGCAAACUGCGAAUACCGGAGAAUGUUAUCACGGGAGACACACGGCGGGUGCUAACGUCCGUCGUGAAGAGGGAAACAACCCAGACCGCCAGCUAAGGUCCCAAAGUCAUGGUUAAGUGGGAAACGAUGUGGGAAGGCCCAGACAGCCAGGAUGUUGGCUUAGAAGCAGCCAUCAUUUAAAGAAAGCGUAAUAGCUCACUGGUCGAGUCGGCCUGCGCGGAAGAUGUAACGGGGCUAAACCAUGCACCGAAGCUGCGGCAGCGAACGUAUCACUUAAAGCGAUUCAGCGGGUUACGAUUGACGGAGCGAAGCGACGUCAAAGCGUAUACAAAGUCGAGUCGGUUUAAGGAUACGUUCGUUGGGUAGGGGAGCGUUC